CGCUUUACACCUUCGCGGGUGCCUCUUUUCCGGUUCCUCUGUUCUCUCUUCACGGUCUCUCUGCGCACCUGGACAGCUGCGUACACGUACAGGAAGACUCCAUUUUCAGCUCCUCUAUAUAUAUACCUACGCAUCUAUAUAUAUAUAUACCUACGCAUCUAUAUAUAUAUAUAUACCUACGCAUCUAUCUUUACCCACAAAUCAAAGAGCGCCUGCACGCUCUCCUCCUCCUCCUCCUCCUCCUCCCCCCCCACACACCUCUUCCUCCGGCGCAACGACUCCUGCUGCUGCUGUUUCAGUUGUCCCUCCCCCUCCCUCGCAUCGUCGCACACGCACGCUUUCGUGUUCCGCCACCUUUUGGGUGAGCGCACGUCUACCGCGGACGGAAGUCUCCAUCUCUUUUCAGUUAUCUUGUGGGUUGUCCCUGAGGUCCUUGGUUGUCGACGCUGUGCAUCCGACUCCCCUACUCUUGCGCCCACUCUGCGCUCAGCGUGCGACCGCAACACCUGCAGCCACACACACACACACACACACACACUUCCAAGAAGAGAAACUUCAAGAGGAAGAAGAGCGAGCUGCGCUUGUCCUAUUUGCCUGGUCGGCUUGCUUCUCCUCUUUUCAUUUUCACGUGCGCACGAGCAAGGGCACGCGUGCUGUGCGCCAUCAUGUCCCACCCAACUGCACGUGGGGCAGGCGAGAAGGCGCCGCUGGUGCGUGGUAACUUCUCUGAGACUCACGGGGACCCCUACGUAGAGGAGCUGGGACCUGGCGCCCCCGUGUAUACUGCCUCGCUUAUCAGAGACGAUCGCACGAGUCGAACGUCUGGCACCAUCUCUACUGUCGACUGUGAUCCCACCGAUGACGACGCCGACUGGAACGUGGAGAAGGCCAAGCUGAGAAAUUGCCGUAACGCGAAGCAGCAGCAGACGCACCACACCUUCCUCACGUCCAGUGGGCAGCCCUCCAACAAUGAGCUAUGGCGCUUCCGCGCGCGCGGCUGCCAGGACUGUUGGGCAGCGCUGUUCUUCAUGGCACUCAUCAUGGUCGUAUUGCUCUGGGGUAUGGAACAGGUGUGGCAGCUGCAGCUGACGGAGCGCGACCUCGCCGUGAUCGCUGGUGUCGCCGAGGGGAAGGGCUACGCAGACUCACACGCCGGCGCCGCUGUGGCGGGCGGCUCUGUCCACGGUAAAGUGCUGCAUGGCGUGGCUGCGCUGCGUGCUGGUGUGGCGGCUCUGUGGGCCGGGAUGGAGGGUUUGGCGCCUCCAGCGGAAGCGCACAACAGCGACGCCUCCUCGCCCUCCUCCUACGCUGGGAUGAUCGGGGCUGUCGUGCGAGCACUGAUAUGGUGUGCAACGGCGGCAACCACCACCAUCCUGGUGGCGUACGGCGGUCUUCUUCUCAUCGCCGUCUACCCCCGCCAGCUUAUAUUCAUCCAGUCCGCCGUCGCAUCGAUGUUGUCUGCUGCUUUCGCCGGCGUGGCCCUUGCCCAAGGCGCGGGCCUGAUGGCAAUGCUCUUCGCCUUGUUGGCGUUCACGCCGCUUCUAUGGAUCUACCUCAUUCAGGACCGGAUUCCCUUCACCACCACGAUGCUGUGCGCCACCGUGUCGGUCCUGCGACGUCAUCGCAGCCUCUUCGCUAUCUCCCUCGGCUCCGCUAUCGCAAGCUGGUGCUUCGUCAUGGCGGCGGUGGUGUGCGUGCUGCCGAGCGUGCUGCGCCUUCUCGCCGGCACGGCGUCUAGCGCGAAUAUAGCCUAUCCCAUCAUCCUCGUCGUCUGUGUUUUCUGGGUCCAGGAGGCGCUAAGCGCACUCGUGCAUGUGACCGUGUGCGGCGUGGUAGCCACGUGGUACUUCGCCGGUGAGGGGAACAUGCCAUCCUUCCCCGUGCAGACCUCGUUUCAGCGCGCCACCACGACGAGUUUUGGCUCGGUCUGCCUGGGCUCCCUCAUCAACGCCAUCGCGUCCUUUGUUCGCUUCCUUAUUGAUACGGUGCGCACCAGCAGCGACGGCGACAACUUCUGGAUGUGCAUCAUGAGCUGCCUGGUGGGCUGCAUCGAGGACUUGGUGCGGUACUUCAACCAGUAUGCCUUCGUUCACGUGGCAGUGUACGGGUGCGGCUACGUCGACGCCGCCAAGGAGACCUGGGUGCUUGUGAAGCAGUGUGCCUUCUCCGCGAUAUUCAACGAUCUGUUGACGGGGCAGGUUAUUGGCAUUCUCGCCUUCAUGAGCGCAGUGCUGGUGGCCCUCUUGACGGCGCUCGUGACGUGGAAUGCAGCGGCGGUGGCGCUGAUGUUUUUCAUGUCACUGAUCGUGAGCAGCAUCUUCUACAGUCCGGUAAGCUCGUGCGUGGCAACGAUCUAUGUGUGCUUUGCGGAGGUUCCGGUGGGGCUGCAGCUCUCGUUUCCGGAGCUGUACGCCGCCCUUGUGGACGCCGAUGCCGGCUAUACGCAGCGCCGUGAGGAGGCCAGCGUGUACGGCACCGCUCUUGUCUAAGUCUCCGUGCACCCACGUACACGUGGCCUUGAAGAGGCGAGGAGCGACAUGGGGUUCGGAAGGGAAAGAGAGAAAGCGGGGGUGGUCGUGCCGCGGUCAGAAUGCAAGGCGGAAUACAUAUACAUGCACAUGCAUAUCUGUAUAUAUGUUCAUAGCACAAAAAGGAAAUAUAAAAGAGGCCCCUGCACACCAGAAGUAGGCGGGCUGAAACAUGACGAGCAAGAAAGGCUUGGUGGUGAGUUUGUUCGGAUUUGUGGCGCGUCUGGUGCGCCCCACCCCUCUCCUCCUCCCCCUCCCCCUCCCCCGUCGUCGUCUUCUUGGCUCGCUUGUUCUUUCCCUUUGCAGCGUAACCCUCUUUUCCUUUAUCUCUGAGUAGUAUUCCGCACACCACACACCUCUCUGUCUCUCUCUCUCGCGCGCGCGCACUGCCUUGGUUUUUUUUUGGUGGUUUGUCUGUCCCUGGCUUUCUCUGUGGGGUGCUUAGUGCUGUGUGGCGUGUGGGCCUUUCUGUUUCAGCGCAUGUUGUUUCUCCCGCCCCCAUCACUCUCCUCCUCCCUUUGUGUUCCACUUGUGUGGAUACAGAUGAGCUUGUAUGAGCGUUGUUAUCGUCGUGGUCAGUGUCGCCUACGCACCUUUCCUCAGCAUGCGCCCGCCGCAGCACGACCAUGAGCACCUAAAGGCAGAGAGUACGUGGAAAGAUGCCUAUGGUGCUCUCUAUCACCGCUCGCUCUUCCCCCUUCACAUCUCUUACGUUUGUAGGCGUAUGUGGGGGAGGGGGGCGGGGGUCUCUAUCCUUUGGCUGAUCUGCGCUAAGCGAUCGCUUUCCUAUGUUGUCCUGCUCUGGGGGUGUCGCUGCAUCUCUGAGCACGUAUGCUGUUGGGUGCCUUUUUCUGUGGCUUCUCCGUCACCGGAUGACACAAAGGCAAGCCAUGAACCCCCCCACCCUUGAAAGGAAAAGCCACGCCACGUCCUUUGCUGAUGCAGCUCUUCGUUUCUCCCCUCCUUGCCUUGCUUGCUGGCGCAGCACGCACUCUCUCCCCUCCCCCACGCCACCCCGCCCUGUCUCCAUCCUUGCCAGUGCUCCUGUUCAUUGCUUGCUGCUCAGCAGGUCGCACAUACCAUGGCAGCAGCAGCAGCAGGACAUUGCUGCACGCGCAGUGCCCCCCCCUUCUUUUGGGUGGUGAGGCUCUCUCUCUCGGUGUGUCUGCGGGGAGUUGCGUGUCUGCUCGUCACUGUGUUCGUCCUUUCCUCUGUUGUUGCUGUUUGACUUCUUUAUCGCUUCCCUUGCUUUCCUAUUCAUGCCGCCUCACUAGCAGGCCCAUGAACCACUUCAGUGCACGUGUGCGUACGCGCCUACACGCAUGCGCAUGCAGGCAGGCACACGUAUUCGUUCUGCACAGCGGUGUCUCCGCAAUGCGUGCGUGUGUGUGUGUACGAGAAAGAGGGGUUCGUUUUCGUGACUGUGCACUCGUGCUGUGUGUUGGGCCGG
rnacentral:misc_RNA from 1 species